rnacentral:lncRNA from 1 species
CCUGAAGAGACAAGAUGGCGGAGCUUGCGAAAUCGAAAUUAAGACAAUGAAAUAGAAGAACUCAACACUUGCACCAGUGGAAGUACUUCUUAUUGGAUAGAGAACUUUUCAAGGUCAGACAUCAGCUUUUGAAGUUGCUUUCUUGGCACAUCAUGCUGUCCAGUGGAGUUCAUACCAUAUGCCAGGCCUUUAUACAUGGUCAAAGAAGAUGAAUUUGUUAUUCAAUUUGUGAAAUUUGAUUUAGCCAGGACUUUCAUAUAUGAUGAUU